rnacentral:lncRNA from 1 species
CCACCUUGGCCUCGUAAAGUGCUGGGAUUACAGGCAUGAGUCACCGCACAGGGCCAAACAAACAAACAAACAAACAAAAAAACACUUAACACUUAAAAUAAAUCCAAGCCAGUCACAGUGGUGUGCACCUGUAGUCCCAGCUACUCAGGAGGCUGAGGCAAGAGGAUCCCUUGAGCCCAGGAAAUGGUUUUUCAAUAUGGUGUGAAGUAGGGAUCAAGUUUCAUCCCCUCCAGUAUGUGUAUCCGGUUGUCUCAUCUUUUUCACACUGCUCUACUGUUCUACAUUUUUUCAUUAAUUGGGUCCAUAUGUCCAUAUUUGAGUGGCUGAGUUCUCUAUUCUGUUCCAUUGUUCUCUUUGAUACCACACUGUCUUAAUGAGUAUCGUUUUACAUUCAUGCUUUAUAUUCAUGUCCAUAUUUGAGUGGCUUUGUUUCUGAGCUUUAUAUAUUCCGUUCCACUGUUCUCUUUGUCUUUGAUUCAAUACCAUACUCCCAGCUAUUCAGGAGGCUAAGGCAGGAGAAUCGCUUGAACCCAGGAGGCGGAGGUUGCAGUGAGCCGAGGUCGUGCCAUUGCACUCCAGCCUGGGCAAUAAAAGCAAAACUCCAUCUC